UUUAAACACAGCCAUGAGAUUUCGUGUCCUUUGAUCGUUUGUUUUAUUUGAUUUUUUUAUGAUUAGUAUUUUUAUUGUUAUUGGAUGAUAAAACAUUAAUAGUACUUUAUGUGUGUGACUUAUGUUUUUAAUUUUUUAAAAAAUGUUUUUUAAAUAGGAUAAACGAUUAAAAUUGAACACGAAAACUUGACUACGUUUUAA
rnacentral:pre_miRNA from 1 species